rnacentral:rRNA from 2 species
AUCUGAGUCAGGUAGGAGUACCC